AUCCCAAGACAGGCUCUUAGCCACGGCUGGGUUUUAAGGUGGUUCUUUUCAACUUGCUGAACCGAGUUCUGAGGAAGCAGGAAAUGAACCGGGAAGCACCACAAGGUGUAUUGCAGUAGCCCCGAAUCUGGGUGGCUGUGAGCUGCAGGACAUGGGUGUCAGCAACAGAACUCAGCCUCUGUGGAAGAGCGGCAAGCACUCAGCCACAGAGACAUCUCUCCAGCCUACCCUCCCCAUUUUGGUUAUUAUCCUCUGACUCUACUUCCCCAAACAUCCUUUUGCUUUUUCAUGGUUCUUGACUUUGUAUUAGUUCCUCUACUGGGAACCAUCUGCAACCUGAUGCAUCCUCAAAACAUAACUCAGAAUUUACUUUUAUAGAAUACGUCCCCAGAUCUCAUUCCCAUGUUCUAGACUUGUACUUCUCGAGUAUACCUUUGAACACAAUUCAAACUCGUUAAAACGAGUUCAUCAUCAGUCAGUCAUGCUGGCUGGGGGCCAAGAAUAUCCAUCCUAACAAACUUCCAGAAGCAGCGACUGAUAGAAAACCACAUUUUAAGAAGCAAGGCCUUACAGCGGUGUCUCCCUGCAUUAACUAAUUUGGCUUUAUACCCUGUUUAUUCAAAGCUCCUUGCAAUUAUAAUAAGGUCUUCUUUGUACCCUUGGUGUCAAGAACAUAUGUUUACUAAGUAAAACUCAACUCUCCCUCGAUGUUUUUAAUGCUUUUCCAGUUAUCAUUUUUCUCCCAAUUUACCUUCUAGCAAAGGAAUGAUUUUGUAACUGAAGUCCUAAGACCUUAGCAUGGCUGAAAGGGAAUAAACAUUAGG